rnacentral:lncRNA from 10 species
CUCCCUCCCCUGGUUUCCAUGACACUGCACUUUCCCACAUCUCCAGGCACUGUUACUGACAGCCAUCAGAGCUCAGAACCAUGCUGCUGCUCCUGCUGCUGCUGCUGCUGCUUGGCUGUUUUCAUCUGGGCCAGUGGAAUGUAAGGGAGAGAUGGCAAUUGAGGUGCAAAAGCUCAUCAAACACGAUCUGUGGAGGCACAGAAUUAAAGUAUGUCGAGAGUGGAAAGGAUCUUUGCUAUGAGCUGCUCCAACCUCUAAGAGCCGCCACCACCACCACCACCACUGACAAGACAGAGCACACGCCCUGUGCCUGGAAUUAUGACAGAGAUGGUUUAAUUUCAUGUAAUUGUCAGAACUGUGUGAGGAGCUGGUCAGCUCUGACCUGGAGUGUGUCUACCCUGACCGUGUGACACCGGGAUCAAGACCCUCUCCUGGGGUCUUGAGGACGCCACAUGUGGGUGAGGCAGCCAUUGAGCAAGGCAGACCCUGCUGAGGGUCUUGUGGUGGGCAUGGCCAUGUGCCACUCAGAUCCCCCUUCAAGGCGGGCCUGGAUGCCGCAGCUGUGGGGAGUGCCUCACCUGCAAGUGCCUCACCCCACCCCAGACCAGGCCAACCUUCACAGACUGAUUGAGGCUGGUACAUAAAGGCCUGGGGUUUCAGCCUAUGUGGGACCAUUCUGAGGGGCUGUUUUAGCCCUAGAGGUCACCGCGGAGUUGGCCGAGGUUGUCCUUGGGCCUAAAUCCCAGCUUGAUUUCUCAGUCCACCCCUGCCUCCUUCUCCUCCCUUCCUCAGGCGUUGCUCUAAAGAGCGCUUGCUCCUAAGCCUCCUGCACAUGGAACUCCACCAUGGAAUCUGCUUCCCAGGAACUCACCCUGGGACCAGCCCCUCUGAGACUCAAGUCAACAUUUGGUCCUAGGGCUGCAAAGAGGAGGUGCUAAGAGGCCAAAGGCUACUUCCACCUGGAGAACGGGCCCCGCGUGCCAGCUCCCCCAAGGCCUGGCCAGGAUGCUCUGCUCGGAGGCCUGUCCUGACUUCCUCUGCUCAUUGCCACCUGAAAUUACCUAACCAACACCUUUCUUCCUCCCACCCUUCCACAAAUACUUAUUGAGCAUCUGCUAGGUGCCAGUUACUGUUCUGCACAAUGGCAAUUACAGCCAUGAAAGAAAUAAAACAGAAACAUUCCUGUUCUCAUGAAGCUUCCAUUCUAGCAGGGGAGCAGACAAAUAUCAAAUCAAUAAUCAAAAUAAUGUCACUUGGUGAUAGUACUGUGGGGAGGAAAAAGCAGGGAGUGGAGAGGGUUAGGGAGCAGGAUGGAGGAGACACAGUGAACAGGAAAGGGCUCACUGAAAAGGUGACUUUCGAGAAAAACCUGAAGGAGGUGAGGGACUGGGUCACAAAGCUAUUUUGGGAAAAAGCCUUCAAACAGCAGGAACAGCAAAUGCAAAGACCCUGAGGCCAGAGCUUGCUGUGUGUGUUCAAGGAAGAGCAAGGCUGCUCCAGUUGCAGUCGAGGGAGUAAGCAGUAAGAAGUGACCUCAGGGACUGUGGGAGGGAUCAUGGGACUGCAGGUUGCGCAGGCCCCCUAGGCCACUGUAGGGACUUUGGCUUGGACUCAGAAUGCGAUGAGUCACCAGAGGGCUCUGAGCACAGGAGAAAUGAACAUUUUAAAGAAUCACUAUAGGCUGGGAGUGGAGGCUCAUGUCUGUAAUCCCACCACUUUGGGAGGCGGAGGUGGGAGGAUCACUUAAGUCCAGGAGUUCAAGACCAGCCUGGGCAAUGUGGUGAAACCCUGUCUCUACCGAAACACAGAAACACAGACACACACACACACACAGACACAGACACAGACACACACACACACACACAGACACAGACACAGACACACACACACACACACACACACACAAAUUAGCUGGGCAUGGUGGUGCACGUCUGUGGUCCCAGCUACUCAAGAGGCUAAGGUGGGAGGAUGGCUUGAGCCCAGGGGACAGAGGCUGCAGUAAGCCAAGAUCACACCACUGCACUCCAGCCUGGUGACAAAGUGAGAUCCUGUCUAAUAAUAAUAAUAAUAAUCAUAAUCAUAAUCAUAAUCAUAAUCAUAAUCAUAAUCACUAUGGCUGCUAUGUGGAGAAUGACCGAAGGGGUAAGGGCAGGAACGGGAGGCCCCUUAGACUGUUCCAGUGAGUCCAGGUGGGAGGUGGUUGUGGCUCGGGUGAGGGCUGGGGUCAGAUUCUGGGGAUAUUUUGAAGGUGGAGCUAAUGGGAUUUGCUGUUGAUCCUUCCAGGGGAGACAGCUGUGUAGCCGGCAGCGUUGUGCACAUGCGUGCAGCCGGCAGCAUUUAUCAAUGAGGCAAACAUCGUGCAGUGGCCUUGGAGCCACACACACCUGGAGCCACACACACCUAGGUCUGGAUCUCAACUCCACGCAUCCUAGUUGCUCAUCUCCAGCAGGCUACGUCUAACUCUCCCAGCCUCCAUUUCUUAUAAACUGGGGAUAACAAUUUUUAUGUUAUGAGAUUACUGUGAAAAUUAAGUGAGAUAAUGUAAAAGAAGGUCUGGCACAAAGUUAAUUAUGAUGAGUUUAAAUAAUGUGGUUUCCUGUGAGUCCUGAAUAUACAGCAGAGAUCAGUCGGGGGAGGGGCGAAUGAGCAAAGGAUCCCUGCAGGGGAGGCUGGGAUCCUGCAGGAGGCACUUGCCAGAGCUGGGGGCAGUCAAGACGACCCAGGAGGGCAGUGGUGGGGAGACGGUGAGAGUCCACGGCCCACUUGCCUUCCCAAGUGAGGAUGGGGAAUUCCAAAGCCCAGGAAGACGCGGGUGGGGCGACCUUUAGAGAAAAGACAGUCAGAAGGGAAUUCCUUGGAUAAAGGCGGAGAUGUGGAAAAUGGGAACGCCACCAAAAUCUAGAGAGGAUGAGGUCAUCCCAGCUGAAGCCAAUCAAAACUUUCCCUGGAGCAGGCAAAAAAAAUAAAUAAAUAAAUGGAAGGGUUUUAGUAGGCCAGAAACUGGAGAUUUCUAGCAGCUGCCAAGAAAGGAAGCGAGCCCUGGGCCCAGAGCCCAUAAGCCCUGGGAGGCCCCACCCUGGCUAGAAAAAGAGACUGGUGGGUGCUGGGGCGCAGCCCAGAAGACAAAAGGGGAGGGGAAGCCAUCUGAGUUGUCUGGGGGUGGUGAUGGGGUGCGCUCCUGGAAAAGCCAUUAGAUCCUCGUCGGAGGCGGCCAGCAGAGCUCUGUGUCCCACUGCUCUGUAGGCAUUUUUCCUUAAGAAAGACAAGAAACAAGAUUAGUAUUCCUUCAAUCAGAACUGUUCUACUCAUUUAUACUUAGGAUGCUUUCCCAAUAAACCAGGGUCUAGCCAGGAGUUUAAACCGAGGGUCUGCCCUUUUUACCUACCUAGAGAGAGUGCUGGGAUUGAAUAAAUGUGGGUUCAAAUCCUGCUUGAUUGUGGGCAGGGGGCUUGACCCCGGAGUGCUGUGACAUGCAGAUCACACUUGAUUGUGGGCAGGGGGCUUGACCCCAGAGUGCUGUGACAUGGAGAUCACACUUGAUUGUGGGCAAGGGGCUUGACCCCUGAAUGCUGUGACAUGGAGAUCGCACUUGAUUGUGGGCAGGGGGCUUGACCCCUGAAUGCUGUGACAUGGAGAUCGCACUUGAUUGUGGGCAGGGGGCUUGACCUCAGAGUGCUGUGACAUGGAGAUCGCACUCACUUGCAUGUGUUUGGGGGUGGCUGGCUUCUCCCCUCCACCCCCAGGGUGUUAGAGAAUUGAAGGAGACAUAACGACCGUGAGAGUGGACACUUGGGCACACAGUCCAUUCUUUCCCGUGUCAGGAAAGUCACAGGCGCUGGCUUCCAGGGGUAGGAGUGGAGGGUCUGGAAUAGUGCCCCUGGUCCCAGGGCAGGAGUGUGACCCUUCUUCAGUGUCCUGCAGUUCAGACUCCCUCCCCCUGUGGUUCCACCAUCUGUUCCCACUUCUCCAAGGUCCCAAAUAAAUGGCAUAGAGCCCUCAGGAGGGGAGGCAUCCUUUUCCCAGACUCCCAGACCCCAUGUGGUCCAGGGUGCUGACGUCGGCCAGAAGCAGCCGUGGCGGAGCUUUUC